rnacentral:misc_RNA from 1 species
AUCUGAGGUCAAAAAAGCCUUCCGACAUCUCGCUCUUCAGUAUCAUCCUGACGUUUGUAGAGGAAGUAAUUGUGGCGUGCAGUUUCAUCAAAUCAAUGAAGCUUACGAUAUUGUGAUGAAUAACUUAAGAGGAAUAUCAACACCAAUAGAGACAUAUGAGACAUAUGAGGAAGCGGUGGAUGAACCGAUGAGAGGAAUGGAGGAUCCAGAUUGGGAUUUAUGGGAAGAAUGGAUGGGAUGGGAA